GUUUGUAUGUAUAGUUUUUUAAUAUAAUUAUCUAUCUUUUCCAAAAGAUUUGAGCUCAAACACGCUAGUUGAAAAAAACUCAAGAUAUGGCUUCAACCAUUACUAUGAAAAAAAUCACUUACUUAAUAUCUUUGAUUUGGAUGUGUUGACUUCAACCUUCUAUAACUUCUUCAUUUGAAUUCUAAAUUCAUUAAAUAAUAUAUAAAAAGUAUGGUUGAAGAAGUGUUCUCUCCAACCCCAAUUGUUGAUCCUUCAUUGCUCUUCGUAAACAUAUGUUAUGCCCCAAAGAAUGACAGUAGGUAUGAAAUUGAUACCUUAACUUUGAG
rnacentral:lncRNA from 1 species